rnacentral:rRNA from 1 species
CGCGUCUGAUUAGCUGGUUGGCGGGGUAACGGCCCACCAAGGCGACGAUCAGUAGCCGGCCUGAGAGGGUGGACGGCCACAUUGGGACUGAGACACGGCCCAAACUCCUACGGGAGGCAGCAGUGGGGAAUAUUGCACAAUGGGGGAAACCCUGAUGCAGCGACGCCGCGUGAGCGAAGAAGUAUUUCGGUAUGUAAAGCUCUAUCAGCAGGGAAGAAAAUGACGGUACCUGACUAAGAAGCCCCGGCUAACUACGUGCCAGCAGCCGCGGUAAUACGUAGGGGGCAAGCGUUAUCCGGAUUUACUGGGUGUAAAGGGAGCGUAGACGGUGAAGUAAGUCUGGAGUGAAAGGCGGGGGCCCAACCCCCGGACUGCUCUGGAAACUAUUUGACUGGAGUGCAGGAGAGGUAAGCGGAAUUCCUAGUGUAGCGGUGAAAUGCGUAGAUAUUAGGAGGAACACCAGUGGCGAAGGCGGCUUACUGGACUGACUGACGUUGAGGCUCGAAAGCGUGGGGAGCAAACAGGAUUAGAUACCCUGGUAGUCCACGCCGUAAACGAUGAUCACUAGGUGUCGGUGGGUAUGGACCCAUCGGUGCCGCAGCAAACGCAGUAAGUAUUCCACCUGGGGAGUACGUUCGCAAGAAUGAAACUCAAAGGAAUUGACGGGGGCCCGCACAAGCGGAGGAACAUGUGGUUUAAUUCGAUGAUACGCGAGGAACCUUACCCGGGAUUGAAAUGUAGAUGACUGAUGGUGAAAACCGUCUUCCCUUCGGGGCUUCUAUGUAGGUGCUGCAUGGUUGUCGUCAGCUCGUGCCGUGAGGUGUCGGCUUAAGUGCCAUAACGAGCGCAACCCCC